rnacentral:rRNA from 1 species
GAGUUUGAUCAUGGCUCAGAUUGAACGCUGGCGGCAGGCCUAACACAUGCAAGUCGGGCGGUAGAGAGAAGCUUGCUUCUCUUGAGAGCGGCGGACGGGUGAGUAAUGCCUAGGAAUCUGCCUGGUAGUGGGGGAUAACGCUCGGAAACGGACGCUAAUACCGCAUACGUCCUACGGGAGAAAGCAGGGGACCUUCGGGCCUUGCGCUAUCAGAUGAGCCUAGGUCGGAUUAGCUAGUUGGUGAGGUAAUGGCUCACCAAGGCGACGAUCCGUAACUGGUCUGAGAGGAUGAUCAGUCACACUGGAACUGAGACACGGUCCAGACUCCUACGGGAGGCAGCAGUGGGGAAUAUUGGACAAUGGGCGAAAGCCUGAUCCAGCCAUGCCGCGUGUGUGAAGAAGGUCUUCGGAUUGUAAAGCACUUUAAGUUGGGAGGAAGGGCAGUAAAUUAAUAACUUUGCUGUUUUGACGUUACCGACAGAAUAAGCACCGGCUAACUCUGUGCCAGCCGCCG